CCUGUCACCACAUAAGUCAGAACCUUGCCCACAAAUUGCGUGUAAUACGGUACUUUUCUGAGAAAUUAUUGUAUUGUGCUUCAAAUACAAUGAAGUCUUCGCACCUUGUUAUCUUGGUCGUGUUUGGAUUCUUGAUUUCUUUCGAAGGAUGUAAUGCCACCUGUAAUUUUGAACGCCCCUUCACAUUCCCGGAAGGAUACGAAUGUCGCAUUGGAAUUGGAAGACUGGUAUUUCAAUUAGAUGGUAACUUUGUCAUAUGAUGGAAAUAAUGUAGCAAAAUGGAACUCUGGAACAACUGGUGUCGGUCACCUUGCUGUAUUUCAAGGCGAUGGAAACUUUGUAAUUUAUGAUGUCACGGGUAAACCUCGUUUCCAUACGGGAACGCACGGCGCCGGAUUUCAAAUGGUGUUUCAGGAUGAUCGCAACUUGGUAAUUUAUGAUAAAGCUUCAAAACCAUUGUGGUGGUCGGGGAACUUGUAAGAUAUUGUAAACAUGAUGUAUAAAAUUAUUGACAUGUA